rnacentral:rRNA from 1 species
GCCGUGGGGGGGCUAUACAUGCAGUAGAACGCUGAAGAGAGGAGCUUGCUCUUCUUGGAUGAGUUGCGAACGGGUGAGUAACGCGUAGGUAACCUGCCUUGUAGCGGGGGAUAACUAUUGGAAACGAUAGCUAAUACCGCAUAACAAUGGAUGACACAUGUCAUUUAUUUGAAAGGGGCAAUUGCUCCACUACAAGAUGGACCUGCGUUGUAUUAGCUAGUAGGUGAGGUAAUGGCUCACCUAGGCGACGAUACAUAGCCGACCUGAGAGGGUGAUCGGCCACACUGGGACUGAGACACGGCCCAGACUCCUACGGGAGGCAGCAGUAGGGAAUCUUCGGCAAUGGGGGCAACCCUGACCGAGCAACGCCGCGUGAGUGAAGAAGGUUUUCGGAUCGUAAAGCUCUGUUGUAAGUCAAGAACGGGUGUGAGAGUGGAAAGUUCACACUGUGACGGUAGCUUACCAGAAAGGGACGGCUAACUACGUGCCAGCAGCCGCGGUAAUACGUAGGUCCCGAGCGUUGUCCGGAUUUAUUGGGCGUAAAGCGAGCGCAGGCGGUUUGAUAAGUCUGAAGUUAAAGGCUGUGGCUCAACCAUAGUUCGCUUUGGAAACUGUCAAACUUGAGUGCAGAAGGGGAGAGUGGAAUUCCAUGUGUAGCGGUGAAAUGCGUAGAUAUAUGGAGGAACACCGGUGGCGAAAGCGGCUCUCUGGUCUGUAACUGACGCUGAGGCUCGAAAGCGUGGGGAGCGAACAGGAUUAGAUACCCUGGUAGUCCACGCCGUAAACGAUGAGUGCUAGGUGUUGGAUCCUUUCCGGGAUUCAGUGCCGCAGCUAACGCAUUAAGCACUCCGCCUGGGGAGUACGACCGCAAGGUUGAAACUCAAAGGAAUUGACGGGGGCCCGCACAAGCGGUGGAGCAUGUGGUUUAAUUCGAAGCAACGCGAAGAACCUUACCAGGUCUUGACAUCCCGAUGCUAUUUCUAGAGAUAGAAAGUUACUUCGGUACAUCGGUGACAGGUGGUGCAUGGUUGUCGUCAGCUCGUGUCGUGAGAUGUUGGGUUAAGUCCCGCAACGAGCGCAACCCCUAUUGUUAGUUGCCAUCAUUCAGUUGGGCACUCUAGCGAGACUGCCGGUAAUAAACCGGAGGAAGGUGGGGAUGACGUCAAAUCAUCAUGCCCCUUAUGACCUGGGCUACACACGUGCUACAAUGGUUGGUACAACGAGUUGCGAGUCGGUGACGGCGAGCUAAUCUCUUAAAGCCAAUCUCAGUUCGGAUUGUAGGCUGCAACUCGCCUACAUGAAGUCGGAAUCGCUAGUAAUCGCGGAUCAGCACGCCGCGGUGAAUACGUUCCCGGGCCUUGUACACACCGCCCGUCACACCACGAGAGUUUGUAACACCCGAAGUCGGUGAGGUAACCUUUUGGAGCCAGCCGCUAAGUGACAAAGU